rnacentral:rRNA from 1 species
GGGUUGUGAGGUUAAGCGACUAAGCGUACACGGUGGAUGCCCUGGCAGUCAGAGGCGAUGAAGGACGUGCUAAUCUGCGAUAAGCGUCGGUAAGGUGAUAUGAACCGUUAUAACCGGCGAUUUCCGAAUGGGGAAACCCAGUGUGUUUCGACACACUAUCAUUAACUGAAUCCAUAGGUUAAUGAGGCGAACCGGGGGAACUGAAACAUCUAAGUACCCCGAGGAAAAGAAAUCAACCGAGAUUCCCCCAGUAGCGGCGAGCGAACGGGGAGGAGCCCAGAGCCUGAAUCAGUGUGUGUGUUAGUGGAAGCGUCUGGAAAGGCGCGCGAUACAGGGUGACAGCCCCGUACACAAAAAUGCACAUACUGUGAGCUCGAUGAGUAGGGCGGGACACGUGGUAUCCUGUCUGAAUAUGGGGGGACCAUCCUCCAAGGCUAAAUACUCCUGACUGACCGAUAGUGAACCAGUACCGUGAGGGAAAGGCGAAAAGAACCCCGGCGAGGGGAGUGAAAAAGAACCUGAAACCGUGUACGUACAAGCAGUGGGAGCCUCUUUUAUGGGGUGACUGCGUACCUUUUGUAUAAUGGGUCAGCGACUUAUAUUCUGUAGCAAGGUUAACCGAAUAGGGGAGCCGAAGGGAAACCGAGUCUUAACUGGGCGUUAAGUUGCAGGGUAUAGACCCGAAACCCGGUGAUCUAGCCAUGGGCAGGUUGAAGGUUGGGUAACACUAACUGGAGGACCGAACCGACUAAUGUUGAAAAAUUAGCGGAUGACUUGUGGCUGGGGGUGAAAGGCCAAUCAAACCGGGAGAUAGCUGGUUCUCCCCGAAAGCUAUUUAGGUAGCGCCUCGUGAAUUCAUCUCCGGGGGUAGAGCACUGUUUCGGCAAGGGGGUCAUCCCGACUUACCAACCCGAUGCAAACUGCGAAUACCGGAGAAUGUUAUCACGGGAGACACACGGCGGGUGCUAACGUCCGUCGUGAAGAGGGAAACAACCCAGACCGCCAGCUAAGGUCCCAAAGUCAUGGUUAAGUGGGAAACGAUGUGGGAAGGCCCAGACAGCCAGGAUGUUGGCUUAGAAGCAGCCAUCAUUUAAAGAAAGCGUAAUAGCUCACUGGUCGAGUCGGCCUGCGCGGAAGAUGUAACGGGGCUAAACCAUGCACCGAAGCUGCGGCAGCGACACUAUGUGUUGUUGGGUAGGGGAGCGUUCUGUAAGCCUGUGAAGGUGUACUGUGAGGUAUGCUGGAGGUAUCAGAAGUGCGAAUGCUGACAUAAGUAACGAUAAAGCGGGUGAAAAGCCCGCUCGCCGGAAGACCAAGGGUUCCUGUCCAACGUUAAUCGGGGCAGGGUGAGUCGACCCCUAAGGCGAGGCCGAAAGGCGUAGUCGAUGGGAAACAGGUUAAUAUUCCUGUACUUGGUGUUACUGCGAAGGGGGGACGGAGAAGGCUAUGUUGGCCGGGCGACGGUUGUCCCGGUUUAAGCGUGUAGGCUGGUUUUCCAGGCAAAUCCGGAAAAUCAAGGCUGAGGCGUGAUGACGAGGCACUACGGUGCUGAAGCAACAAAUGCCCUGCUUCCAGGAAAAGCCUCUAAGCAUCAGGUAACAUCAAAUCGUACCCCAAACCGACACAGGUGGUCAGGUAGAGAAUACCAAGGCGCUUGAGAGAACUCGGGUGAAGGAACUAGGCAAAAUGGUGCCGUAACUUCGGGAGAAGGCACGCUGAUAUGUAGGUGAAGUCCCUCGCGGAUGGAGCUGAAAUCAGUCGAAGAUACCAGCUGGCUGCAACUGUUUAUUAAAAACACAGCACUGUGCAAACACGAAAGUGGACGUAUACGGUGUGACGCCUGCCCGGUGCCGGAAGGUUAAUUGAUGGGGUCAGCGCAAGCGAAGCUCUUGAUCGAAGCCCCGGUAAACGGCGGCCGUAACUAUAACGGUCCUAAGGUAGCGAAAUUCCUUGUCGGGUAAGUUCCGACCUGCACGAAUGGCGUAAUGAUGGCCAGGCUGUCUCCACCCGAGACUCAGUGAAAUUGAACUCGCUGUGAAGAUGCAGUGUACCCGCGGCAAGACGGAAAGACCCCGUGAACCUUUACUAUAGCUUGACACUGAACAUUGAGCCUUGAUGUGUAGGAUAGGUGGGAGGCUUAGAAGUGUGGACGCCAGUCUGCAUGGAGCCGACCUUGAAAUACCACCCUUUAAUGUUUGAUGUUCUAACGUUGACCCGUGAUCCGGGUUGCGGACAGUGUCUGGUGGGUAGUUUGACUGGGGCGGUCUCCUCCUAAAGAGUAACGGAGGAGCACGAAGGUUGGCUAAUCCUGGUCGGACAUCAGGAGGUUAGUGCAAUGGCAUAAGCCAGCUUGACUGCGAGCGUGACGGCGCGAGCAGGUGCGAAAGCAGGUCAUAGUGAUCCGGUGGUUCUGAAUGGAAGGGCCAUCGCUCAACGGAUAAAAGGUACUCCGGGGAUAACAGGCUGAUACCGCCCAAGAGUUCAUAUCGACGGCGGUGUUUGGCACCUCGAUGUCGGCUCAUCACAUCCUGGGGCUGAAGUAGGUCCCAAGGGUAUGGCUGUUCGCCAUUUAAAGUGGUACGCGAGCUGGGUUUAGAACGUCGUGAGACAGUUCGGUCCCUAUCUGCCGUGGGCGCUGGAGAACUGAGGGGGGCUGCUCCUAGUACGAGAGGACCGGAGUGGACGCAUCACUGGUGUUCGGGUUGUCAUGCCAAUGGCACUGCCCGGUAGCUAAAUGCGGAAGAGAUAAGUGCUGAAAGCAUCUAAGCACGAAACUUGCCCCGAGAUGAGUUCUCCCUGACCCUUUAAGGGUCCUGAAGGAACGUUGAAGACGACGACGUUGAUAGGCCGGGUGUGUAAGCGCAGCGAUGCGUUGAGCUAACCGGUACUAAUGAACCGUGAGGCUUAACCUUACAACGCCGAAGCUGUU